GGCGUGCGCAGAAGUUGGAGGCGAGCUUGAAGGAAGGACAUGCUGUUGCGACGGUGCGGGUCUAGCCAAAGGCCGCUAAAACACGCUGGGGCUUGGGCAGCGCGCUAGGGCGAAGAAGGAGAGCAGGCUAAGGGUGUAGGUAGGAAGACAAUCGUCGGGAGGAUUGUACAUACGUGUACCCGAACCGGUGAGCCGGUGAGUACCUGAACCGGGCGGGCGAUGGGGUAACGACGUCGAUGUUCAUGGUCUAGUUUGCGUUCCUUCUUCCAUGGGUCACCUAGUGUCUGCUUGGGCCGUCGCCGAUGGAAGGAGAGAAGAGGAUGGAGACGAGGGGUCAAGUAGACAUUGAGUUAAGAACAUAGUCUAGCACUCACACACUUGAUAUUAGAUCACCUCUAUAUAGGGCAUGGAAUGUAGACCAUAGUCUCUGGUCUGUGGUGAGGAAGGGGACGCAAGGCAGUUCGAGCAGGCGUAGCCCGUCGGUACCUAGGUACCUACGUCCUCAUAGAGCUGGCCUAACUGCGGUACGAGCUGCGGAUGUGGCUGCGGUGGUCCAGGGAGCGUCUCUUUCACCUGCGAGACCAGCAGCGGACCGCCGGUCUGGAGCUCUUCUCCAGGAGGGUGUGGCGGCAGCAGGUGCUAGGUGGUAGCGGCUAAGGAAGCGACCUCUAGUGAUGACUCCGCAGCCGCGGGUAGGGUCCGCAGAGGACGAGGUGGUGGUUCCGGGUAUUCCAUGGUCUCCAGUAGGUGUUCCGCCGGGGACUGACGUAGUACCGCCGCGGACACUGGACAAGCUGCCUAACAAACUUAGUUCAACAGCGGGUGCGGUCGCAGUUGCUCCAGGCUCUACAGCGGUGGUGGUAGAAGGGGCACCUGCGUCAACUGGAGGUCCUUCGGAGGCUGUGGUGGUAGGUGUAGCGGUUCCCACAUCCUGGGUAGGGACUGCUGCGGUGAGGUCUCGAGUGAAGGGACCUCCACGCACCGCGUCCGGACCCGGUGCUCCAACAACGGUAGCUGCAGGUGCACGGGUGGCGUAGCCGUAAGUGGCCCAGCGGCCACACCGGGUCGAAGUUGAGACCGUGGAGACUUAGAAGUAACGGUAGAUGUGUGUUCCUACACGUUCUCCAUACCUUCGGUUACGGACCCGAUAAACUGUUCGGACUUCGACAACAACGAUUACACUUCCUCGUGUUCCUACUACGUUUCGACAACCAUUAAUGUGAGAAGUACUUGGGUAGUUGGACCAUACUUGUAAAGUUAUGGGCUCUGGGAACGAACCAAAGCAACCUACGGGUCAACCAUAAACGCCUCGUAUACUCAGGACUUGACGCAAAUUGUACCGGCUGUGAUCACCCUUGAUUAAAGUCACUCAAGACAAGUCGUCCCGACAGAUUAAGUAUAACAUGUAAUAGGAACAAGGGAACCUUAGGUCCACCAAUAAAAGAGUACGUAUUCUUAGCCCACUGGUACUACGAAUAGUGAUGAUCAUCAUCAAGAGUAACCGUACAAUGGGCACAUAAACUCCUCAGACCAGUCACGAAAAGAGUCUAACGUUUUUAUGUUACCAACAAAGGAUAAACAUACUUCCGCUACUGUGUCACGAACCAUUAUGAUGGAGAACAAUUCGACCUAAUACUCGAUACCGUAGGUGGACUAGUCGUUGGUUCCUACUUCUCCUUCAAGGGAACCUGCAAGUCUUGUGUAGGUAAAGACUUAUGGGUUCGCGCCCUGUUCCUUAACUGAUCAAUGGAAAGAUACUUAAACAAGGUAGAACCUCUAGAACACAUGUUAUGUACCCCUGCCACCGAGUCACAUGAACCUGUGACGUAGUCCUAUGAGGAUCCAGCCGAGAACACGAACACCAUAAACGUUGUUCUGCUACGACUAAGUACGAAGUAAUGUGUACACUUUGAGAAAGUAAUGUCACUUACCACCAAAAGACUUGAGACAGACCAAUGAUCGUAAGAGUGGGAACUUGACAUAGUAAGAACGGGCCGACGAUGCUGACAGGUAGGUAAAUCCUCGUACUGUUUUACCCCACGAACCUUGUGCCGUUCUUCAAAAACAAACGCCAAUUAUGUCGAACUCGGUCAUGAUGGAAGAUUAGAUCGAUCGUCUUGACUUGUUGCCGUCGAAUAGAGACUGUGCAUAGGUACCGUUGUACAUCACAAACCCGACGAUAUACUUGAUCGUAUGACGUUACUCCGGUUAGUAAUAAUAACCAUAGACUUCUAGGAAUGUUACGACCAACAAGUCUGGCAUGUUCAACGUUGUCUCUAUGCUCUAAGUCUCAAUUCAAACAAACAACGACCACGAAAGGACGAACCCGUAUUUGUUUUCAAAGAGACCUGAGGUAUGUGACGUUUCAAAAACCACAAAGUGUCCUGGUUGAGUCGAGGAUCAAUAAAAAGUCAGAGACUGUCUUCUAGAACGAUAUAACAAGACGAACUACACAAAUCUUAAGACACGAUACUUGGCUACGAUCGAUGGCCAUAAGUUGGAUCUGAGAGACUCACAGUUGGACCGCUAACCAAAGUACUACAAAAAGAGUCACAUACGUUGUGUAUAUGAGGACUUGGGUGCGAGCGGUUUAAAGUCCGAAAUUUUUUUACGCUAACGCUCGUAGAAUAUAGUUGGCCCCGAACAUUAGAUAAGUACCUGUUUCCUACGGAGUUCGCAGUGUACCAAGUGCUUCUUUUGCUAAGUUAUCAUCACGUUUGAAGUUCCUAAGUCACACAUGUCGGUUCUACGAUGAACCUCCAACCGAGAUGAGUUCGUAUAGACUUUGACUUCCUUCAACUACAACGACAAUGAAUGUACAAACUCGAAUCUUUGUUAAGCCUAACCCUCAACGAAUGGGUAAAGUUGGCAGGUGGACUAGGUCGUUCAUAAACCCUCACGUAGUGACCGGCUUCGAAAGGGGCCCUGGUUUAGAAUGACUACUAAAAAGUAGGUACCGGUGGUUGAGUACAAUGAAUAGACUAUUUCAAAACGACAACACCGUCGGCCCGUCACUGAGCUGUUUACCAAAAAGUUCCACCCGUUCCACAGCAACGAUAGUGACAGCCAAAAGGUGUUCCGAGGCAGCUGGUGUUCAUGAUGGUGCCGAAGCUGUCGCUGAUGAAGCCGAAGAGUACACUAACCUAGCGGUAGCCGGUGCCGAUGAUGUUGGGACAGUAAGUUCAGUUGGGGCUGACACCGAUGGUGUUGCUGAAGCUCGAUCAGUUCCUUGUAGCUCACGUUACCCUAGGCCCGCCAAGAGCCACCGAAGCCGAACCCCAGUUCGGCCUAGAAUUCUUACCCCCCUACAAUCGUCGGGAUGAUUGUACAUACGUGUACCCGAACCGGUGACCCGGCGAGUACCUGAACCGGGCGGGCGAUGGGGUAGCGACGUCGAUGUUCAUGGUCUAGUUUGCGUUCCUUCUUCCAUAGGUCACCUAGUGCCUGCUUGGGCCACCGCCGAUGGAAGGAGAGAAGAGGAUGGAGACGAGGGGUCAAGUAGACAUUGAGUUAAGAACAUAGUCUAACACUCACACACUUGAUAUUAGAUCACCUCUAUAUAGGGCAUGGAAUGUGGAAGCCUAGGAACAAGCUCUAGUUGGUGUACCUGGAGAGGCUCGAGGCGAUGGGCUUCGAGGUAGCCAGCAGCUAAGGCAGUGGUGGUCGCCACUACAAGAGGAGGGAAGAGAUAUAGCAACGGAAUUGAGUGGGAAGAGAGACUUGAGAGAAAAGGGAGGUUCGUCAUGUACUCGCUUGAGUGACUGGAGGCGGGCUUGUCUUGUGACGGCGGGCUCGGAGGGAGGUUCCGGUUAAGGCCGCUCUCUCGAGCCUAAGCUCGAUAGGGCGGGUGUGGUUUCUAGCGACGACGGCGGCAACGAGAUCGACUCGUCUCGCUACGAUGGACUUUGAAGGACAGUGGCGGAGGACAAGCAGGAGAGCACGCCAGCAACGUCCUGGGUGGUCUCUUGAGUGCUGUUUAUGGGACUCAGACAGUACGGCGCGAAGUAGGAGCACGAUAAGGGCUUCAGCGGGGGUUAAAAAGGAGGCACCUCUGCUCCCGUGCCUAAGGUACUUCGAGGCGGUGGCUCGAGGGAAGCAGCCAACUAAUACUACUGAUAACUGUGACCUCGUUCGAUGGCUGCGUGAGAGCUAGGGUAGCCUCAAACCACCGUGAUGGCUCGCUGCUGUGGUGGUUGUCUCCCAUGAAGGAAGCAGUAAAAUGCGGUGGUAGUGGUGGGUGCAGCUUGUGGCGUAGAUGUUACGGCGGAGUUGAAGCGGCCUCCUGGUGGCCUCAUCACGGUGGCAGGGACGAGCAUGGCGGCGGUAGCAGGAAACCGAGUGCCACUCGUGUGGUGCGUGUACUGUAGAGAGCUGCUUAGUGUUUGACGGUGUACUGUGUACGUGUUGUGUAGUAGUCGUAGAGGUUUUGCGACGGUGCCGUCUCAAAAAUUGUGUUAGAUACGUGUAUAACAAAUACGAUAUUAAAAAACAGAUGCGUAGGUUUGAGUCACUUUGAAAAGGAUACACAAGUAGAACUAGAAUGGAUAGGUAACCUUAGUUGUCAAAAUUGAGGAUUUGAGAAGUUUAAGAUCGUUAAGUUUAAACAAAAGUUUAUUAUACAACUGGUAUAGAACGUUUGGUACACAACUAGGCCAACUAAGAAAACCGUAUACUAAAGAACAUAGUUUAUGAAGGAUUUGUAUAGUAAACUUGAGGUAUAACUUGAUAAGGAACGGGACAAAACUUAAAUUUAAUUUCAGUUUGAAGUAAGAUGAUAUUGAACACAACAUCAUGAAGAAAAGUUCAUUAAGAAAAACGUUUACUUGGGUAUACAGUAUACGUCAUACAGUUUGCUGUGUACACAACAAAAGUUUUAUGAAAACUGGUACAAGGUAGAAUAGAGGUUAUAUUAGAAUAUAUAGUAGAAGAAGUACGAAACUGAGAACACUCAACUAAAGAAGUGAACAGGAAAUAUCGUGUAUUUCUGGGAUAUAUUAUAAACAACAACAACGACAACGACAACGACAACAACAACGACAACGACAACGACAACGACAACCACUACCACCA
rnacentral:rRNA from 1 species